AACGAGCGCUGGCGGCAUGCCUAACACAUGCAAGUCGAACGAGACCUUCGGGUCUAGUGGCGGACGGGUGCGUAACGCGUGGGAACCUGCCCUUAGGUUCGGAAUAACUCCCCGAAAGGGGUGCUAAUACCGGAUAAUGUCUUCGGACCAAAGAUUUAUCGCCUUUGGAUGGGCCCGCGUUGGAUUAGCUAGUUGGUAGGGUAAAAGCCUACCAAGGCGACGAUCCAUAGCUGGUCUGAGAGGAUGAUCAGCCACACUGGGACUGAGACACGGCCCAGACUCCUACGGGAAGCAGCAGUGGGGAAUAUUGGACAAUGGGCGAAAGCCUGAUCCAGCAAUGCCGCGUGAGUGAUGAAGGCCUUAGGGUUGUAAAGCUCUUUUACCCGGGAUGAUAAUGACAGUACCGGGAGAAUAAGCUCCGGCUAACUCCGUG
rnacentral:rRNA from 1 species